CGUGACCUCGACAAGCUGCCCUCAGCACACACUCCUCACAGGUCCCCACGCCACGUGGGCUGCUGCUGGGCUGGGAAUUCGCGGUGGGUCUCUGCCCAGCAUCUGCAGGGACUGCUCACUGCGCCUUCCACACCCACAGCUCCGGCCCCCAAGCCCUGGCUGUGCUGUCGCCCAGCCUCGGGACCUCCCUGCCCACCCCUCCGCCCCUGCCCCACCCUCCUUUACGGGUUGGAAGGAGAAGACUGAACUAGCAUCCACUGAGGACCUGCUUCGUGCUGGGCUCUUCAACACACACCAGAUCAUGUGAUGCUCGUGACCACCUUCCUGAGGAAGGAGAAAGAAGCUGGGGCUCUAAAAUAUUAAGAAACUCACCCGAAGACCCUGAGCUGGAUCCUCCUGGAAAAAACAUGGUUCUGUGGCUGAAUAAGCAGGAAACUGCACGCUGUCUAUGCCCAUCUGGGAAAGUCACUGUGGACAUCAGUGUACGAAAGGCCUGAGGAGUCUUGCAGGGGAAACUCUGAGCUGCUUAUUCCAGCACGAUCCAAACUUACUCGACCACAGAGCACACGGGCUGCCACUGCCCCCAUCUAAUGCCUCUUAACCCUACAGAUAACAACUGGGAUGCUAGAAACAGGACUCUUCUCAAUUACCCACUGAGAGGAAAGACGGCUCCUAGUGGAUAGAUCCUAACCAUGCUGAUGUGUUAAUGAUCGCAAAUGACUUCAUGUUUGUGAUUGUAUGAAUAUAUGUCUACAAAUUCUUUCAUGUUCCUCUCUUCAAGAGGUGGAGCUUAAUUCCCCUCCCUUUGAGCAUGGGCUGGACUUAGUAUCUUGCCUCUAAGGAAUAAAAAAGGUGA